AAAUGGCGCAGUUACUGAUGAUCAGUGAGCACUUUUUAAAGUGUACUCAAGUGAAGUUUUUACUUAUCAGAGUGAAGACCAGAGCCAAAAGAAAGUCAGGCAAGGAUUGAAGAGACCAGCCUUUGGUAAGCCCAUAUGCUGUCACUCUACCUCCACAGAAGAUUUCUCAGUCCAAGUGAGAAGCUCAUGGUAUCACCGUGUUCCUCUCUCCUAUUCACACUGGGCAGCUAGGCAGAAGGUGAAGACUUCUGGCUGAGUACACGUGGGAACCUGACUCUGCCCUAGCAGGUAGUAGAGCACAAACUGGGAUGGGUAAUUCUGGUCCUUUCCUACUUUAAACAGUGAUGAGCUAAUGUAGCCUAACUAGGUAAUGCAAUGAGGCUGUGGGAAACAUGGCCAGAGAGGAUCUCCAUUCCUUGACGGACAUUCUCCAGGAAACUGCUGUUACUGCUCAGCACAAAGAGCAGAAGUUCUAAUGCCUUUCUCCAGAAGACUCAGUUUGGAUGUCAAGAGAAAGCAGGUAUUGAGUUUCUCCAUUUUUUCUUUAUAAGAUCAGUACAGAGAAACAGUCCUUUAGCUUAGAUGUCCAUAACCACUUGCAGGCACGUGUCUACCUUCUUCCAUGGAGCAUGAGUAAGAAACCUGUGGUCACCAUAUGGACAAAGCUCCUGGAGCACAGAACUCCACUGAGUUGAAUAUUUUCAGGCACAGAUCCUCACUUCUUGAGCCAUCAGGAUUGAAAAACAAGUCACUGGGGCCCUGGAAAGCACAAUUUUUCCUUUCCCACACAUGAGCUGCUUCGUCUAGUGGUUGGAGGGAAGCAGCACCUGUGCUUCCAUGCUCUCCAGGAAGGAUGACCUGGCUGUGCUGUCAGACUUGGACCAAGCUCCAGAGAUCUUGCUUGGACUGAAGGGUUUGGUACUCCAGCCAUGUGAGCGCCAUCAAAUAAGCAGGUAGGGAACAGGUAAGACUGGUGCAGAAGGCUCCC
rnacentral:lncRNA from 1 species